rnacentral:rRNA from 1 species
GAUGAACGCUGGCGGCGUGCCUAAUACAUGCAAGUCGAGCGAACAGACGAGGAGCUUGCUCCUCUGACGUUAGCGGCGGACGGGUGAGUAACACGUGGAUAACCUACCUAUAAGACUGGGAUAACUUCGGGAAGCCGGAGCUAAUACCGGAUAAUAUAUUGAACCGCAUGGUUCAAUGGUGAAAGACGGUUUUGCUGUCACUUAUAGAUGGAUCCGCGCCGCAUUAGCUAGUUGGUAAGGUAACGGCUUACCAAGGCGACGAUGCGUAGCCGACCUGAGAGGGUGAUCGGCCACACUGGAACUGAGACACGGUCCAGACUCCUACGGGAGGCAGCAGUAGGGAAUCUUCCGCAAUGGGCGAAAGCCUGACGGAGCAACGCCGCGUGAGUGAUGAAGGUCUUCGGAUCGUAAAACUCUGUUAUUAGGGAAGAACAAAUGUGUAAGUAACUAUGCACGUCUUGACGGUACCUAAUCAGAAAGCCACGGCUAACUACGUG